ensembl:misc_RNA Metazoa_SRP Metazoan signal recognition particle RNA
GCCGGAUGCUGGGGCGCAUGCUUUGGGGUCCCAGCUACUUGGGAGGCUAUGGUGGGAGGAUUACUUGAGCCCAGGAGUUCUGGGCUGUAUGUAUGACUGGGUAUCCACACUAAGUUCAGCAUCAAUAUGGUGACCUCCCAGGAGUGGGGGACCACCAAGUUGCCUAAUGAGGGGUGAGCUGGCUCAGGUCAGAAACAGCAGGUCAAAACCCCUGUGCUGAUCAGUAGUGGGAUCGUGCCUGUGAAUAGCCACUGCACUCCAGCCUAGACAACAUAGCGAGACCCUGUUU